rnacentral:ncRNA from 1 species
UCUGUGGAGUGUUAUAUCAAAUGUGAUUAGCUUGAUAUUAUCAAGCGAAAACAGACACUAAGAAGCAGAAA